CUAGACCUGAUUAUGCAUGCCAAGAUGCAUAAGUAUAGCAAAUAUGAGUCUCUUCACUUAGUGAAUAAGGAUUUUGGAGAGAUGUUGGAGAAAUGGUCAGGGUUGUAGGCGAGGCUUGGAUCUGCACAGAGCUCCACUCACGAGCAUGGAAGAUUGCCUUCACAACCAUCUCCUCUACUGAGAGUCUGCGGUUAUUGAAUAUUAGCUGGUUUCUUGAAGUCCAUAGGGUCCAACAAACCCAUGAAGAUAAGGUUUCUUUAUCCAGCCUUAUCGGGGGAAGAGAAUAGCACUCACUUGCUCUACGAAUGCCUGAUAAAGUGUCUAUGAUAGAUGUCGGAUCAAAUCCAUUCCAUAAGGGGAGAGCUUGCCAGACCUCAACAGCAAAAGGGAAGUGGAAGAGCGGGUGAACUACUGUCUCAAUUUCAUUACAUCUGCAACAUUUUACUUCCAUUGGGAUUUGUCUGAUUGCCAGUUGUUCUCCUACAGGGAGUGCAUUGUGAAUUGCUUUCCAGAGAAACAUUUUGACCUUUAGAGCUGUUUUCAAGUUUCACACUUGCAUGUUCCAGUUCGUUGAGGAGAUAUUGUUAGGUAAUGAGGCUCUUCCUCCAUUCUCUGAUGCAACAAAAUAGCCCGACUUGGUAGUGUAUUCUCCUGAGAGGUACCUUAGCCAUAUUUUUAUCUUUAGCCCCUAGGGUACUGGGUUUUAUGGGAAGAAUUUGAUAAUAGCCUCCAGGUUUCAGCUUGAGCUUUGUUCCACUAACAAAUCUUUAACCUUGGUAGUUUGGAAGAGUUCCAGCGGUGGACCCAUGGGUUGGGCCCUCUCCUUAGUUGACAGCCAUGGGUCAGACCAGAUUUUGAGAUAUUAAGACUUACAUUUUUCAUGAAGAUAAGACAAACCCUUUGGCAGAACCAACAGCAAUCUUCAAUCUUGAGCUCCAUUCCACUGGAGGCCGUCCCUUUCCUGUCAAAAAAUCAUCACUAACUGAAGACAUUAAAGCAUGGUGGGCCAGAAUCAUAUUGAUUAGUUAUAUUCAUAGUAAAUUAGUACAAAGGAAUGGUGUAAAUUUUGUUUUAUGUUUAGAAGAUACAUGAAAUGAAUAGAGAUUAUAUGUAGGUGAAUUAUGCAAGAAGAGAGAUGGAAUGUAUUUUUAGGUGUGAGUUUGUUAGGAGGGGAAGGAUCAUGUGUGUCUAUAAGAGGACAAGAGUGAGAUAAUAAAAUUUGUCUUCUUAUUGCAAAGUCAUACGAAGAUUUAUUAAUAGGAAAAUAAAAUAACGUUUUUGCUUUUCAGAAAUCAACUUAUAUCUGAGUUGAAUGAAAAAUCUUGUAAAAGUUUUGAGUGGGGCUUCGGGAUUAUAUAUAUAAGGUAGGGCAUCACAUGGGGGAACUAUGAUUUGUAUUUGGUAUAACGUUAUGCACAUGAUUAUUGGCAUGACAUUCGCUGGUCUCACCUUCUAAUAUUCUCCUAUGUUUAGUUUUUUUUUCCUCUAAAACAAAGCUGUCAAGUGUCAACACCCAAAAAAACACACAUACAACACAAUUUAUGAUAAUCUAUACUAUUAAAAGAGAAAGGUGUUUUGUGUCC
rnacentral:lncRNA from 1 species